rnacentral:lncRNA from 1 species
UCCAGAUGGCAUAGUUAUAGAAAACAGUGAAAAAGAUGGAACAGAUGAUAUUUCCUAUUUUGUCUCUGAUGCAUCUCUUGUGAUGAUGGUUUGUUUAUUUUGACAACUUGAGUCCCUAACAUGAAUCCGUAUAAUUUGAAGGUGUAAACUUCAGAUUAUGUAGAUGAUAAUAAAAAAGAGUGCAGUUCUUUGACCUUGGUGGAUCUUAUCUCUCCCAGUAUACUCACUUGGUUUCUUGUGUAUUUUUUAUUUUGUAAAUGCCUAUUUUGCUUGUAUACGAGAUGUUUAUCUUGAUUUCUAUGCUUUUCCUUUUGUUGUCCCUGUGAUCAUGUUUUAGGUACUUGAUAAUGUAGAUGCUCAAACAGUGGAAAAUGGUGAAGUUGAAGAUGAAGAGCCAGAUACAGUUUCCUCUUCAUUUGUAGAUGAUAGUGAUAAGCCUCUUGUUAAGGAAUCAGUUCCCGUAGGUGGGAGAGUUACUCUUGAAGAAAUGGAAGCUAGACCAAAGAGCAUUCCCUCUUCAUUUGUAGAUGAUAGCGAUAAGCCUCUUGUUAAGGAAUCAGUUCCCGUAGGUGGGAGAGUUACUCUUGAAGAAAUGGAAGCUAGACCA